UUUUUUUUUUUUUUUUUUUGGAGUCCUGUGUGUUACAUGAAGCCUGGGUAGGGAAUGGCUUCCAGUGUUUCUUUACCAAUGGGCUCUCUGGCGGCUUCAGUCUUUAUGCAGCUUUCUGAAGUCCAUCCUUACUCUCCUGCCACAGAAAGACUUGGGGUCUGCCUCUCCUGGCUUUUGGGGAUCCCAAGAGGUUAUACUGCUUGCAGGCACCUCUGUGGGCCCUUGCCCAUUUCUGCCAUGGGACUUCUCGUUCUUUAAUGAAUCUCUCUCUCUCUCUCUCCAUUGUUGUUUAGCCUGGUGACCAGGGCCUGCUAUGCCAUGUCUGCUGCCCACCUCAGGAGCCUCAUUUCUCCUCAAAGAGCAUAUGAGGCAACACCAUAGCCAGCCAGCUUUCCCUCUGGAGGGGCAUUACUACUAUGCUAGAAUGGGGGCUUUCUGGCUUCUGCAAUCUCCCACAGUUCUACCUGACACCUCCCUGCCUGCACCUCUGUCUUAGUCCCUGCCUGCACCCCUGCCUGCACCCCUGCCUGCACCAGGCACUUCCCACCCACUGCUCAGUCCCUUUGGAGAAUGCCUGCCCCAGCCCUCCUGCACACAACACUGAUUCUUCACCUUCAAAGCAUUCUUCCUGCCUCCUCCUCCAGGCAGUCAGAUCUACCAGGGUAGAUCCCCUAGCAACGGCAACACACGUGUGUCUCUAGUCUGUCCCCAGAACAGAGGCUUCUUGCAGAUCUCAGGUCUUAUUCUCCAUUUCUCCAGCCGUGCACCCAACAUGGUCACAGACUAAUGGACCUAGGAUGCAAAACUUGACUAAGAUGACAAGCAGCCCUUCUCCCACCCCCUCUCCCACGAGAGGCUGUGCUGAAGAACAACAGGUGAAGAAGCUCUUGCCUGGUUGGCCCAGAAAAACCCCACUAGCCCCAGCCCAGCUUUUUGCCCUCCCCUCCCCCAACUCCAUUUCUUAAGCAGGGAAGGGACAGGUGGCGGAAAGCUGCUUGGCGGGAGGUUGGUUUCUAUUGAGAAAUGUCCCUCAGCUUCUCAGCUAUUUCCAUAAACCAAUUAUCACUGAUCAUCUCAGGAGAUUGAGGCCCUGCUUGUCACCAAUCCAGCCGGGCUGUGAAGGGGAGGGUAGCUGGAUGGCUGUGUUGCUCCAAGACCCUUGCCCCAUCACCCUGUUGCCAUAGGAACAUGCAAGGGAGGGGAGUCUAGGGGACAUGAGCCUGGAUAGGAGUGUGAAGCGCUGAGAACAUCCUGGUUCCUCUGACCCACCAGCACAGCAUGCAGUGUAAAAAGUGGGAGGCAUGCAUCCCUGCUUCCUUUUUCAUGACGGGAGCAGGGUCUGUGCCAGGCUCCAGCCUGGUCCCAGAGCUCCAGGCUGAGCUGCCAGCAGCUCCGAGUGGUGCUAAUGAGAUGCAAAUGAAAAGAAGAAGGGAGGGCUUCUGGGAAUGAAGGCCCAGCUGCCAGGACCUAGAGCUGGCUUUCAGUGCUAACCCCCAGCCCCAGGUAGGACUCCCACAGGGAGGAACAAGAACUCCCAGGUCUCUAGAGUUGGGCCCUAGACCCCAGGAAGAGUUUGUCGUCUUCCCAGAAAUGAUUACAAUAUAGAACAACAAAGUAUGCAAUAAGAAAGUCCACUAAAAUCUUUUCUCAUAUGGAUAUUUCAAUGUGUGUGUUUUUUUAAUUAUAAACAUUUGAAUGUAAAAUCUGAAACUGUUAAGAUCUACAAGUAAACAGCUUCCCCUAGGAUCCUUACAUUGGUCUUGGCAAUGAUUUUUUUUUAAUUUGACAUCAAAAGUAUAAGCAAUGAAAGCAAAAUAAACAAGUGGGUGACAAGAAGUUUAAAGGCUCCGUGCAGCAAAGCAAAACCUCCACUGACUUGAAGAAACAGAAUGGGCUAAAACACGUGCACACCACACAUCUAACAAGGAGCCAACCCCCAGAGCGUAUGGAGAGCUACACCCUCCAGUACCAGAAAAACCAACUGGAUUUUGAAAAAGGGCCCUGAUAAGGCAGCACACACUUUUGAUCCCAGAUACAAAGAGGCAGAGGCCAGUAGAUCUCAGGAAGUUCAGGACAGCCUGGUCUAUAAAAUGAGCUCCAGAGCAGCCAGGGACACAAAAUGAGGCCCCGUCUCAAAACAACAACAACAAGGAAAACCAAAGCAAUAAGAGGCAGAGGAGCCUAGAAGUAUAGCUCCAAGAUAGAGUGCUUGCCUAACAUAUACCACACCCUGUGUUUGAUCCCCGGCCAAACCUAGCUUGUCAGCACUUGGCCACUGGGGAAGAUCAGAAGUUCAAGGCUAUUAUCCUUGGCUCUGCAGUGAACUCAAAACUAGCCCACACUGCACAAGACUCUCUUAAAUAAGCGCAGAUAACUCGGUGACAGGUGACAGGAAAAGGUGUCCAGCAUUGCUUAUCACCUAAGAUGUCCAAGUCAGGACCUGAAGGCCAUCCCACCCAUACCCGUUAAGUGGGUUGUUAUCAGAAAGACAAGAAGUAGCCAAAACAGGGGCACUUGGGAUGACUCAGAAGGUAAAAGUGUUUGUCACCAAGUGUGACAAUUGGAGUUCAACCCUGGAACCCACAUAUAAGAGAGAACUGAUUCCCACAAGUUAUUCUCUGACCAUACAGACACCAUGGCCCAUGUGCCACUCCACACCAUGAACACUCAGAUAAACAAAAUUAAUGGUUAAUUAAUUAAAUGCAAUAAAAUUGCAAAUAUUGGUGAGAAUGUGGAAGAAAGGAAAUCGCUCUACACUAUGGCUAGAAAUGCAGAUUCAUACAGUGGAAAACACCAUGGAUGCUCCUCAGACAUUAAAAAUAGGAUUAGUGUAGAUCAAUCCCACCUCUGUAUACAUAUCCAAAGGAAAUGAAGUCAGUAGCGUGAAGCAAUGUCUGCAUCCCUGUAUUAUAGCAUCAUCACAUGAAGAGAUGGAAUAAACUUAAACAUCUGCCCAUCAAUGAAUGGGGAAAUUACAUGCACACACAUUCACACAUACACACAUAUGCACAUACAUACACGUGUCAUGUGUAACUUCCUCUAACACGGAAGGCAUAAUGUUAAGUUAAAGAAGCCAGAUGUAUAAAGAGAAAUACCACAUUAUUUCUUUUAAUGUGGAAUCUUGUUGAAUUCGCAAAACAGAGAGUAGAAGGAUGGUGCCAGGAUCUAGGGAGGGGGAAAAUAGGGAGAUGUCAGAGAGUCCAAACAUCUACCUACAAGGUGAAUACAUUUGGGGAUCUACUCUACAGUACGGCAACUGUAGUUAAUAUUGCGUUGUAGACUUUAAUGUGGUGAGUUUUUGGCACACCCACCACAUACACACAAAAGGAUAACUGUGAAGGGGUAGGUGUGUUAGCUUGAUUGCAUGGUAUCGUUCAUAGUAGGUAAGUAUGUCAAAUCCUUCUAUAUAUUUCUAAAAUAUAUUCUUUUUACUUUCCAAUGAUACCCCAAUUAGGUCAGGAUAUAUAUAUAUAUUUCUUACUCCAUAUAUAACUUCUUACUACAAGCAUUUUUACUUUGCUUUCUGAUGUCCUGUGUCUAGUCAUCCAGCUUGGCUUACUGAGUUCUGCCUAUCCAUGUUGGCCCACCUCAGGUCAGGGUGGGGACUCUGGGUCCUUAUCUGAGAUUUCUUCUAUCUUCUUUGGCUUUAUUGCUCUUCCAGUAAGCAGAUUUAUAGUUGAGGUACUGGGUAGAACACGAACCUCAAGCUGCUCACUCAUCUGCUUCAGUAGUGGGAGCUGCCAAGGGUUCAGGUCACUUUACCCCUCUGUAGACAUUAGCCCCAGCCAGUCCAGUUACCACAGCUAUCUAGCCAACUAGGUUCAGUGGCUUAUUUUUUGGUUCUGCAAGUCUCUAUUCAAGCCACCUUCCAAUCCCACCCCAUGGCAACAAUUCUCUCUUUAGUUCCUUGUGGGCACAGUACCUCAACUACAUCCAAGGGACAUCUCAUCUGUACGGUCCCCCAGUAACUCUAGUGAUACAUGAUUAAUAUUGGGGUUCAACCUGAAUAUCUACAAAGCAAAACAGACAGCCACUGACUCUUACUUCAACCUCAGUCAGAAAUAGAGAUCCUGCCUCCAGGAAUCUCAGAAUGAGACUAUGUCUGAGAGCUGUCUCCUCCUGUUUUAUAAUCAUCUCUAGUUCUGGGAUUAAAGGUGUGCACCCCUGGGAUUAAAGGGAUGUACCGCCUGGUUUCUAUGGCAACUAGUGUGGCUACUGGGAUUAAAGGUGUGUUACCACUGCCUGGUCUGCAAGGCUGACCAAUGAGGCUGUUUUACUCUCUGAUCUUCAGACCAACUUUAUUAAAAUACAAAUGAAAUGCCACUACACACUAGUCCCUGGUGACCACUCACUGUCCUUCGAGCCCUUUCUUCUCUUGGCUCUUAGAUACCUUACUCACACUUCCUCUGUGGCCUUGCUCCACCUGCCUACUGCACAGCAUUAAGUGUUGGCCCACCUUGUUUCCUCCAAGGCUACACAUUUCUGAUAAUCUCCAUGCCGUCUCGUGCCCGUCCUGACAUCAAGAAUCCCAUCCUGGCCCAUCCAGUCUAUCUAUGUCCUAGAGCACCAAAGCCCCCUCCCCUCAUCUCUUGAAUUUGGUCAUGUCUCUCCACCACCCAACAGGCCACUAUGCUUUCUCACCUGUUCUAGGUACAUCUAAUCUUGCUCAUUUGCCAAGUUCCUUCUAAGGGAGGUUUCCCUUUGCUGUUGUGGCAUCAGAUUACCAAAAGUGACCCCAUGGCUCCUUACUGUUCCCAGACGAAGAGAACUCCAGGCCCAGUAUGGCUGAGUCUUCACUAGUUGGCUCUUUCAGGUUCCCAGCAGCAGGACUCCCCUUUUCUAUCUUUGCCCCAGCCAUAAUAGGCAUCCUCCAGUCCUUACCUGUUCCCUCACACCCCAAGCCUUUGUAUUCCUCUUCCAACCUCACCUCCAAAAAGAGACCCCUGAUCUCCCAGGCCAGCUUUUUCCCCAUUGCCUACCUCCGCAGUACUAUAGACUUCCACGGUGAUACAGCUCUGCCUUCCUAUGAGACCCCUGAUCUCCUAGGCCAGCUUUUCCCCAUUGCCUACCUCCGCAGUACUAUAAACUUCCACGGUGAUACAGCUCUGGCUUCGUAUCAUUAGUUACUUUCUGUUCAUCAGGUCUUACUGAUUCUAAGAGCAACCACCAGGGUAUUAGGUCUCUUUUGCUCACUGUUCUUUCCCCAUUACAAAACCCAUGUGAUGUAGGAAGCUGGAAGCUAGUAAUUGCUGUAUGUGUAUAUGUAUGUAUGUAUGUAUGUAUGUGUCUGUAUGUAACACUGUUCUCACUUGCUGUGUGACUUUGGGAAAGUUACUUCACAUCUUCAUGCCCGAAUGCCUCAUGUGGGAGUGUCUGAAGAGUCCUGAGGAUGGUAGAACCAGGGCGAUGCUGGCAGGUCCAGCGCAAAAUACAGGGUAAGGACUCCUCAGCUAGCUCACUCACGCUGGGCACAUGAAACCCACCAUACAAAAGGUUCAGGGUAGUAGAAAGAAAUCAAACUGGGGUCAGAAAGACCCAGAGUCUGGCCCACUGCCCCUGCCUUUUAGUCCUUGGUCUUCAAAGUCUCGGUCUUUCCAUGGACCAGGAUAUGAAUGCUGGCCUCCAUGUUGGUACAGGCCUAGUAGGCUGGCUUUCUCUCUUGCCUGGGAAACUGUCUGUUCUUUAGAACCCUCACUGUAUUGCACAAGGCAGACUCCACACCCAGGUCUGCUGGACCAGUGCCAGGCCCCAGGUCUCCCCUAACUUGUCCAGUACCUAUCUCCCAGCCUGGCACAGACAGACCUGUCAGUCACAGUCCAGCAUGGACCGGGAAGGCAAUGGACCUGACAGGUGGGGUACCCCAAUGGGCCGUAUCAGGGAGCACCAGGAGAUGGCCUGUGAGUUCUGACUCCUGGCCAAGGGCUGGGGAAGGACUGCCAGUGCUGGCAGCUGCUGCCUUGGCUGCCUGCUGCCCUGAGCUAAUGAGUGGGGCAGAGCCAGCCUGGGAGGUCCAGGCCUGGCCUCGCUGAGCUGAGCUGAGGGUGAGAAACAGGUCAGGGUUAGUCAGUUAGUCAUAGGCAGGCGUGAGGCCCGACCCUGGUCCACACUGAGCCUGAUCUUGGUCACAGAUGGUCCCGACCCUUGUGACUACUUGGAAAGGACAUUGGAAGUAGACAGUAGAGGUCCCAGCAAGCAGAGAGUUAAGAACUGCAUGUUUAAGAUGAAUGCACCCAGAGAGUGUGUAGUUUUCAGGCCUCAUCUUACAGUUCAGGGUGUUUCUAGGAUCCUUGUGGUCUCACAGUAGAUGGGAGACCCAGCCUGUGCUCUGAACCUACCUGCCCUGCAUUGGCCAAUAAGUCACAGAGGGCAAGAAUCUGAGCAGAGAAGUUAGAAGUCCAGGAUGACUCAUAGGUGACCUCUGCCUCGGCUACUCUAGAGUUGAACUUAGCAAAACUAACACUAAUAGUGACCAUACUUGAGGGAGAGUCCCAGGAAGAAAGCAGACCUCAUGAGUAACUUUGUUCUAUUUUAAACACACCAACGAUCCAGUUCCCUAUACAUUCCUAACCACAGGGCCCUGGGGGGGAGGGGGAAGUGACAUUGUCCCUUCAAAGUAGCCAAGAAGGCUGAAGCCCUGAACAGUGAGGGACUGGGCUGAGGAGACAAUCAGGCUGUAGAGUGGAGCAGACAAAGGUACCAAUUCCCAUCUGACCUCUGACUCUAGAAGAGAUCAAGGCUCCUUGUCUCCCAGAAGGAGGCCCUGGGGAGAGAGACAAGGCUGGGGAGUAGAUCCUGGGUGGGCCCUGGGACUCCAUCAUCCUGCAAGGCCCCAGCCCUGUAGCUUACUUAAUUUCCUGCCCACACCUGCUCUCCAUAUGGUUUCACUUCCGAAACUCACAGCCUCCAAAUUUUUGUUCUGUAAGAACCUCCCUAUGUCCCAGGGCUGUAAACACAGCUGGUAGCAGUGGAUAAAGUAGGGCUGGCCUGGGACACCCCACCCCAGCCAGACUGUAGUUAGGAGCAUUCUUUCCAGAUGUUCCCCCACCGGCCCAGCACAAGGCCCCUGAGGUCUCCUUCUGCACUGAACAUUCAUUCAGCCCCUGACAGUAGGACUCUCUCCAGGACACCAGACUCCUGAGAAUCAGCCUGGAGGGCAAUGCUGCCCAACAGAAGCAAGCAUGCUUGAGGAAAGGGCAAGGAGCAGGGCAGGGAGAGCUCUUUCUGGAGUCCAUGGGUCACGGAUGCCUAGGCUCCACAGCUUCUUACUGAGCAUGUGCUGAAUGCCUACCGGGCUACUCCCUCCCCAGACACCGUAGACAGCUGGGAGUUUGGGCUUCCCUCUUAACUUUGUUAAGAGCUCCACCUGUCCUUGCCUCUUCCCUGUGUGUGACACUCUCCACCCAGCCACACAGCUUCCCUCAGAAGGGGCUUCACUAACAAUUCCAAAGUCCACCCCUUCAGGGCCAGACCUGUGACAUAAUCCUGAGGUCAUUGCUGUGUGAUGUCAUAUUGUGUAGCAGAGCCUGGCAAAGCCAAGGGCCCUGGCUCCCUCAGAGCACACCCCCACCGGAACAACCGCCUACUGAUUUCUGAUUUGGGGAAACUGGGGUUUGUCUCCACUGUGUUGAAAUCUAGAUUUCUGUGUGAAACCCAGAGUUUGCAAUGCAGGCCAAACUUGGUCAGCUAGAAUCUACAGCGGUCCCUUUAGAUUCCCCUGAUGUGGGAGUGAUUUCUUAUUAAUAAAGAAACUGCCUUGGCCCAUUUUAUUGGAUAGAAAAUUAGGUAGGCGGAGUAGACAGAGGAGAAUGCUGGGAAAAAGAAGCUGUGUGAGGAGUCGCCAUGGUUCUCCCGUUCCAGACAGACGCAGGUUAAGAUCCUCCCUGGUAAGCCAGCUCGUGGGCUACACAGAAUAUUAGAAAUGGGUUAGAACAAUAUGUAAGAGCUAGCCAAUAAGAAACUGGACCUAGCCGGCCAGGCAGUGUUUGAAAGAA